CCUACGGGAGGCAGCAGUAGGGAAUUUUCCGCAAUGGGCGAAAGUCUGACGGAGCCACGCCGCGUGAACGAAGAAGGCCUUCGGGUCUGUAAAAUUCUGUUGUUAGGGAAGAACAAGUACCAGAGUAACUGCUGGUACCUUGACGGUACCUAACCAGAAAGCCCCGGCUAACUACAUGCCAGCAGCCGCGGUAAU
rnacentral:rRNA from 1 species